CGAAAGACAACUUCAAAACUUUAUGAUGGAAACUGAAUAAAGUUUUACAUUAAUAAUUAAAAUACAAUUAUUUGCUUAAAUUAAAAAUGGAAAGAAAUAUCAGCCCGGAUAAUAAUAUUAAAUACAUAAGCCAAUUUACAAAAGAAUGAGGGGGUGGGGUGGGGGGGUGUGGAGGAAACAAGUAUCAGCCAGUGCUACCAGAGAGAUCUCCAGAAAGAGCACUUCCAUAGGAUGCUGAUCCUGUUUGUGAAGUUGUACCUACACGGGCUUUUUGAAUCUGUCUUAUUCUGAAAGCAUCUCUUGGUAGUGGCUGGCUUUGGACAGUUGCAGUGUCAUCCUCCUCUUGCCUGUCUAAGUCCUUCCUUUUUCCAGAUUGUCUAUCUCUCAACUGUUUGAAAGAUGAACCACUAGGGACAGGACGAGACUUGCUCGAACCAGAAAGGUCACUUGUAGCAGGAGCAGGGGAAGUCCCUAACUUUCCCGCCUGCCCAUUUGGUAUGUCACUCUGCAAACAAAUUGAUAAUACAAUAUCCACAUUUGGUGUUGGACCUUCAACUGUAGGCAAGUUUACUAAAAAAGACAUCAGUGCCGGAGGUGUUGCUUUCAAUACUUCAUCAAAUGCAUUGGUUGCUCCAGAACCCACCAAACCAAUAAUGGGAUUAGACAUGUUGGAAGCAGUAACUAACCCAGGGGUCGUGCUUGGAGAAAUUCCAGCCUCAUGCUUUUGCCUUGGCUCAUAAAUCACCAUACAAGAAGUAUCUGGAUAAACAACUUUUGCAGAUACUGCUGAAUUGCUUGUCAGACCUGUACUAACCUUAUCUACAAUCCCAAGUCCAUUAGAAAUUGCAGACUUCUCCAUUUUCUUACUAAUAUUUUUAGCAAGCCACUCUUGACGGGAUAAAUGAUCCAAGUCCUUGGAAGAGCAUGGCCAAAGAUCCAUGAAACUAUACCGUGAGACGACUUCUUGUAACGAACCCUCUAAUGCUGAUGCUCCAUCUUCACCUGACCUCGAAAGAGCUUCUUUUCUUCUUUGCUCAACCUUUAACAUGCUAGCUAGAUCUCCAUAUGUUUGCUCGAAUUGAGUAAAUCGUUUCCAGACCUCAACAGAUUCUUCUGGUGGCAACGAGCUUAAUGCCCUCUCAAACAAAGCCCGGAUGUUUCUGUCAUCAUUCAAACGAGACAAGAAAUCUGCAUAUUCGAGAAUAUAUACAGGCUCAUGCAUAAAUCGUUUCAAUCCUGCUUCGAAAAUAUUGUGUGCCAUCUUUGGAUCCUUGUCAAGACAAAACGCCAUCAAGGCAUAUGCAACAUACACAUGAUACGUGCAGUUUGGGGAUUUGCGAGCAUCUAGGAAGUACUUGCGUGCUGCUUCUACCCCUUCAUUCCUUCUUAGAAAGCGAAUGAAUUGUAUAUGUGCUAGUGCUGUUGUAUUAACACCAUCACCCAAAAGACUUUCAUAUAUUUUCUUUGCUGGCUGGAUUGCUCCACGGGAUUCUUCCAACUCAGCAUAUGCAUAUUUCAGCAUUUCUGAAUCUGGAAGAGCCUUUAAAGCCCGUUGAAAUACUUUGAUUGCAGCAUCUGUAGAGCCACUUUUUGCAUGCCAAGUAGCAUAGUCAUACCAUAUAUCAGGAUAAUGGUACAAAUACAUCAGGCACUGCUCAUAGGUGAAUACAAUUCGCUUAUUGGAGGACACACUGUCUAUCCUUUGGGGGUUUCCUUUUUCAAAAGCUAAAAGUCUUUUCCAAGCCAUCCACUGCAGUUCUUCCUUGUGGGAGCCAGUUGGUGGUACAGCUAGCAUAUUCCAAUCAAUUUCAUCAACAUAUUUCUUCCGCUCCCUAUAGACAGCCCUAGCACUGUUAUAUUUUGGUUGAUAGUCAGAUAAUAGUCCUUUGGCCAAUUGUCGGCUAACAGAGUUUUCAAAAUUUUCAUAGUCCUUCCAAAGUUGCUCAACAUGAUAGGUAGGAGUAACAAUGGCUUUUUGGUAUGCUUUCCGUACAGCAGUCAUCCGCUGUGACUCUUCCUGUGCAUUUAGAGCCUGCAGUGACUUUAGAAAGGUGAUGUACUCGAUCCAUACAGGUCCAGAUGCUAUGUCAGCACCAACAUAACCAAGCAUAAAAUCAAAAGCUUUUCUUGUUUCUUCUUGUCCCUCUACGCCCUUUUUCUCAUUGACCUUCCUAAUGAAUCGAAUGUAGCAGCGCCAAAGAGGAACUUGAAGACAAUUCAAUAAACACCGGCUAAAUAUCUGCUUUGUAGCAUCAUCAUUGUUUACAGCCAUAUAUGCCUCCACAUAUUGCUUCCAAAAUUUUGCAGCUGUUGGAAACAACAACAGAAGUUGCUCAUAUAUUGGUGCUGCCUGAGAAAUGGGCAAAUGCUGUGCGCUAUUGGCUAGAAUUUCUGCAGAUUCAACAUUGUAUUUAUCAACCAUUCCAGCACCAGUUGUUUGAUCCUUUGUCUCAGCUCCAUCUGGAUUCUCCAUCUCUUCACACCAGCAAACAAAUUAGGGUCUCAAUUACUCAAGUAACAGUACCUCUGGAUCAAAAAGUGUCGAAAACGGCUAGAAGCGGAGAAGAAACCUUCGGGUUCUCUCUCCUCUUACCUCACCACUGAGGCCACUUCUCUCUACUUUUUAAUCGCGGCACAUACCUGACUUCACCAGAGUCCCUCUCUAUCUCUCUAGUCUCUAUUUCCCUGUUUCUA
rnacentral:misc_RNA from 1 species